ACCUACGACCAAAUCACCCGGAAUGUGCCCGAUCCCACGAUACCUAGGAAGUCAAGCAGGAUUGAGCUUGGAUAGUGCUUGGAUGGGCCAACACCAUGCAAUACAGGUGUUACAGGCU
rnacentral:rRNA from 1 species